CUUGGGAGAAGCUGGCAGAGGGCGGUGGGCCUGCAGGUGUAGACCGCGCACCACUGGCUUUAUAGCCUCUCGUUCUCAAGAUAAUAGUUUUUGGAUGGAGAAACGGGCUCUGAAAAGCUGAAGAUGUAAAGGCCCAGGACCAGCGAGCGGCAGAGCUGGGCUUCAGCCGUGGGGUCUGUCCUUCCGAAGUCAGUGCUCACUCUGCCCACCUCACAGUCCCUCCGGCCACUCUGGACCCCUCUGGGCGCCCUGCGCCUAAGCCAGGCUCUCAGGGCCGGCUCCUGUCUGAGGCCCUCCGUGUCCCGUGCCUCAGUGCCCUCAUCAGGACAGGAGCCUUCCAGGAGGUACCCAGGCUGGACAGCCGGACCCUCACGGCCGGUGUGUGGGUGAGGGGUGGUCAGGACCCUCCCACAUCCACACGGCCACCGGCGUGCUCUGCAGACCGGAACAGCGGUCCCCAAGCAGCGGGGUAAUUUCUCCAGUGUCUACAGGCGUUUUGGUGAUUACCAACACACAAAUUCAUUUAAAGGCAUUAUUGAAUUCCUA